GUAUAAAACCUUAGUUUUGAUUAAACACCAAAUGCUCAAACGCAUCAACAGUGAUUACGAUCGUUCAGCAAUCACUGAACCGCAAGCGUCAAAAGACAAUAAGAGGAAACUUCUUGGUAUAGUCAAUAAAAACUCGAUUGGAGUGGUUUUUAGUGUGAUCCCGCUCGCUAACUUAACUACAACGUAAAAGAAAAAAAACUGAGAAAUUUCUUUAAAAAAACCCUGAUAGUUUCGUAACCUUUCUACUACAUUUAAUCACUGAUUUGAAUUCGCGCCAACCAAGGGAAAUGGUAGACAGAUCCACAAAUGCACUGAAAGGUUUAUCGAUUCUGUGAUAAAAAACCGAUUAGUGAAGAAAAAUGUAAAAAAAUCAUCAAGAUUAACUUUCUGCACUACACUUUUAAAUCGUUGUUUAUUUUUACAUGUUAUAACAGGACUAAAAUCCAUUCAUUAACUUGUAUUGUUAUAGCAAAUAAUCGUCCGUAACCCCGCGCCAUUUUUACUAAUUCUCCUUACUAGUUCUUUCCAUUGACCUAGCGUCACUUAUAAGCUUAUCAGAAAAGAAGAUUUGAGUUGCCUCUGUUAUUAGCCAGUUAGCGUCGCUAGGGGGAAUGCAUUAUUGUAAACGUUCAUAUAUAUUUACGCCCCCGUCGUCGAUUUUCCCGCAAAAAGCGUUUACCUCAAGCACAGAGUCAUGUGGAAGCUAUCAGAAGAUUUCACCACAUUGGUUGGUGCACAACAAAUAAAAUAAUGGGACACAACAGGAAUAUAAUAGAAGAAUGAGGUAAUCCAGCCAAUCCUGUUAGGUCUGACGAGCGGGCUUGUACCUUCUCUAAACAGGCCUUUUCUAAAAUUAUAAGAAUAUGACCAGUAGGGGCGUGACAGUUUUUUUAUGUCCUUUACAUUUCUAUUGGUCACUUGAGGUUGAGGUUAGACCUUUAGGUGCGCUGCGAAAGGCGACAAGUGGGGGCUCAUUGGAAACCUUAUGGCAUCGCUUAGACGAGAGUAGGAGGUUGUAAUUUCUACGGAUUAUGUCGUUGAUGUUAGGUAGUGUAGGGUUAUAAGUAGUGACAAAGGGGAUGCGACGGGACUUUUUGUGGUUGUUAUUAUUAGGGCGUAGGGCGUCAAUUCGGUAAACGUUAGCAGCGCGUAGGAUUUGUCUCUUGAGAAAAGCGGGUUUGUAUCCACGCUGGAGGUGGUAGUUAGUGAGUUUAUUGCAGCGGUUAUUAAGGCUUUCUUCUGUAGAACAAAUGCGGCGAAGACGGAGGGCGAGGCUAUAGGGGGUAGCCUUUUUGGUGUAAUGAGGGUGGCAAGAUGAAAAAAGGAGGUGUUGGUGUUUGUCAGUAGGUUUGGUAGUUAGUUUCGAUUUUACUAUUAACAAGGGAUACAUAAACGUAAAGAAAAGGUACAUUGUUUAGGAGUGUGAGCUUGUAAAUUUAAUGGUGUGUGGAGUAGAUUGUUAAGAUAAUCUACAAAAGCGUUCAAUUUGUCUAGAUCCUCAGUCCAUACAAAAGAAAUAUCGUCGAUUUAACCACGUAUGGCGUUUGUAAGGGGCGUCACGCAGAGCGUUGGUUUCAAAUAGGCCAAGUAAGAGACAGGCGAAAGAGGGUGCCAUGCGUGUGCACAAGACAUGUUUCAAGUUAAGGCAAUUUUGGCAACAUUUCAAAACUUGCUAUUUCAAUCGACUCGUUUUACCUCUAAGAAGAACAGCCGAUUCCAAGCUACGAACAAGCUUCAAAACCAUUGCCUGGGCUACUUGUGUUUGGUGGCGGCAUUGCGUGAGAUGAAGUACCAUUGUCUGUUGAAGUUCCUAUUGUGAGAUCUUAUAGGUGGUUGAGGCAGAAUGGGUUGAGGUAGAACGUUGUGCACUCUAUAGAAGGUGAAGUUGAAGAGGUGGUGCUGGAAGCGGACAAGUUUCAGCUGGAUUCGUUUGGUCUUGUUGAAUAGCGGAGUGAAUGGGUAAAUCAAGUUGAGGGUCAUUUGAGUUCGUGACCGUGCUUGUGACAGGUCCAGGGUUGGUUUCAAUAUCCAUCGAUUUUACAAUAAGGAUUGAUAACACGAACAGCAUGAAAAUGGCGGGACGAUUGUGUAACGUAAAUAUUUCAAGUUGGUUCGGCUGCGGUGGCGAUUUGGAGGAAUUCUUGGGUUUAAUGCGCGGGUGCCUCUGGUACUUGUGUAUUGUACAGAGUUCGCUAGAUAGCGGUGCUGGGGCCGAAAUCUCCAGCCUAGCCAUAAAGCUAAGCACGAGCUAUAGGAUAAUUUGACUACGAAAUGAAGUCUAGUGUCUUGUUAGUGUUCAAUAAAGCACGUAUACCUACUUCAACUGGAUCUAUUUGCAUUGGUUUCGCCCCUACAGCGAGCUCUGUCCCUACGAGCUUGCGACCUUUCAAAUGACGCGCUGUGUAACCGCCCCCGCUUGGUAAAUGAGUAACUCGACCCCCAACGGCGCGUUUUUUCCCUUCCCCAUGAUGAAUGGAUGGUAGUAUCAGCCUUUGCUCAUGUGUUAACAGGUUUGAAACCGGCUUUACGGGUUUUCAGGUAAUGUAUUCAUAAAAGUUUGCAAAUGGAAACAAAAGGUAACUGCAAGUGGAUUUUCUACUCGCUCGCCACCACUGCUCGGAGGGUAAAGAAAAGGUUUUCUUCGCACCUGGUAGCUAAUUUUGCUGCAAACCUGAUUGCCUUUUUGGCCUUCCUGGCAUUCUUUAAUACCAUGCUUUCCUGGCUUGGCUUCAUGGUUGGACACCCUGAGCUAAGCUUUGAGAUGAGAAGAGUGCCGCAUACUGUAUAUAUAGAGCCUUUUAGCCAUGCAGCUGAUAAUAGGAGAGUUCUAUGAAUUUAGCAAUCCAGCCCCCUUGCAUAUAAAAGAGGACUAUCUCCAUAUGUUUGUCUGUCUGAAGACAAUGGUAGGCGUACAGAUGCUGCGUUCCUUUCCCCUUCUCUAAUUGAUGACUAGGAGUGCCGCAUGAUUACCUACAAGUCUCACAUCGUGUGAUGUCAAGCCGUCAAGCAAGGGCUCUUGAUUAUUGCAUGUGGCCAAAAUAAGCCAGGGGACCCAGCUGCACAACCUUACAUAUUGACUGUCCAAUUUUCAGUUAAUCUGUUCCUAUGUCUUGCGUCCUGUUGCCUACUUGAUGGGUGUUCAGUGGAAAGAUUGUGAUGUGGUAGCAGAGCUUCUUGGCAUCAAGACGUUCUUGAAUGAGUUUGUUGCGUACAUUCGAUUGUCUGCUCUGAUCAAGAAGAGGACGCAUUUGCAACCAGGUCGCACAAUAUCUAUCCGCUCAGAAAUUAUAAGCACAUAAGCACUGUGUGGGUUCGCUAACUUUGGCUUAGUCGGCAUCCAAAUUGGGGGCCUGGGACCUAUUGCGCCAACCAGGACAUGUGACGUGGCUCGGCUUGGAAUGCGCGCCCUGCUAGCUGGAACCAUCGCAUGCUUCAUGACAGCUUGCGUAGCUGGAGUGUUGUAUGACGAGUCGCUGUACUAGGGUGCGAUCGCUAUCGGCACACUCACCCCUAACGUGACAGCCACGAUAGCCUCCAAUUUCACAACAAUAGUGCCUACAACCGCGUUGAGAAUAUUCCUGUGAUCAGGCUCUGGUGGUACCGUAACUCUAGAAAAUGCACCAGGGUUAAAGUACGUGCACAGGUUUAGCUAGCGAAUUCAAGGGUUGGCCUUCACACUUCCUUACGUGGUUGGCCGUGAGCAAAGAGUUAUACAAAAAAAACCUUUAGCCCUCUGUAAGUGGAGCGGGAAAGUCCCUGGCAUUCGUUUCAAGUUACCCGUGCCCUAGAUGAACGCGUAGGAUCCGAGAGACGACAACGGUGACGUCACAUACAAAAGCCAUGGCGUUCGUAUCCAGGUUUACUGUGCCUCUGUAGGUGAACCGCGUAGGAUCUAAGACGAGCACUGUGACGUCACAUACCAAAGCCAUGGCGUUCGUAUCGGGUCUCCUGUGCCUCUGUAGGUGAACCGUGAAGGAUCUGAGACGAGCACUGUGACGUCAUCACUUACCCACCACAGGAAUUCCGAUCUGAACGCCAAGGGCUAGAUGCUAUAAGAAAUGUGUUUAUGUUGGGCAUUCGGAAUUCGCGCCUUGCGCGUUCCCUAGAGGUUCACUCAUGCCUAUAUAUUUAGCUAAUUACAUUCGUCUUUCACUUGACCUUACCAGUUUGCAUAACGUGUCGUUGUUUCCGGGGUUGUUUUUCCCCAGUCUUUGGCUAGUUGAUACAUGAACAUGUUUGUAUAUUUUACAUUACAUCUAUACUUUGUAAUAUCGUCUCCAAUAAACUGGUACGCGUCACUCCUCA